rnacentral:rRNA from 1 species
GAACGGAAAGGCCCUGCUUUUGUGGGGUGCUCGAGUGGCGAACGGGUGAGUAACACGUGAGUAACCUGCCCUUGACUUUGGGAUAACUUCAGGAAACUGGGGCUAAUACCGGAUAGGAGCUCCUGCUGCAUGGUGGGGGUUGGAAAGUUUCGGCGGUUGGGGAUGGACUCGCGGCUUAUCAGCUUGUUGGUGGGGUAGUGGCUUACCAAGGCUUUGACGGGUAGCCGGCCUGAUAGGGUGACCGGCCACAUUGGGACUGAGAUACGGCCCAGACUCCUACGGGAGGCAGCAGUGGGGAAUAUUGCACAAUGGGCGGAAGCCUGAUGCAGCAACGCCGCGUGCGGGAUGACGGCCUUCGGGUUGUAAACCGCUUUCGCCUGUGACGAAGCGUGAGUGACGGUAAUGGGUACAGAAUCACCCGCUAACUACGUG